UUAAUAACAUAAAUAUAUAUUUUCUUUUUUUAACCAAUACAAUUAUAUUAGAAAAUUGUAAAAAUUCUACCUCCUCCGUAUUUGUCUUUCCUCUGCCGCUCUUGUUACCUAGACAUUGAAUAUCCAGUCAAAAUUUCUCGAUUAAUCCUCUUGAAAACACACCACUGCCACUCUUAAUAACCCUCGUUCACUUUGGAUAAGAAUUUCAACCCAUGUAAUCGUUCUCUCUCCAACUCGCGUUAUAUCCCACCCGGACGACGUGUACAUUGCGGCGUAGGCUUAGAGUAGGAUUUCCCUCUGCUCACAUGCUCUCAUGUUAGUUUUGGCUUGAUCAUAUUGUAUCGAGCUUAAGCGAAUCAAUCUUGUCUACAACUUGCAACAAUCCAGAGAACGAUGAAAGGUACCCAUCAUAUAACUAGUUUUUUCAAACGUCAAUUUGUUCUUCACCGGCUUCCAAAUGGACACAGAAAUACGGAUACACCAUGUUUCUAAAUUUUUCUUUUUGGAUAAAUCGAUAUUUCUUCCUGCAAAAUUUGGUGGAUGUAAGAAUUCUUCCUUCAAAACUUCCAUUUUUUCCACAAAAUCCAAUUUUCUCCAUCAUAAUGGAUCUUUCUAACUUUGGUAUCACAAAUAUUUAGCAUGUUCUUCGUUAUGUUGACAUAACAAUUUAAAAAUUCCAUGUCUUCACAUGUAAUUGGUUUAUGUUACUGUUAUUUUGUCUCAUAUCGUUGUAUUUAACACUAUUAAUGUCCAACCUAAUGUGGAAGCGGGUAUGGCCAUCGAUGAAGGUGAGGAGAGGUCCAACAAGGUAAUUGACGAUGAAGACAAGUCCAACAAGGUAAGUUGUUAUGUCCUUCACAUCUUGUUUUAAACGAGUCCGCAUGGACUUUCAAAUAUGGAUACACUAAUAUUAGUGCAUUUAUCAUCGUCAAUGUACAACCUAUCAUGGAAGCCGGUAUGGACAUUGAGAAAAGUGAAGAGAGAUCCAACCACGUCGUUGAUCAUACUGUCAUGUAUACUUCAAUAUUUCCACAAGGACACACACAUAUGGAUACAUAUUAUACUUAUGUGCUUUGUUGGUUCACAGUCAACACCGAAAAGAUCCCAUCCUCUUUUUUACAUGUAAAGUAACAUGAUUGUUGUGUUUAAAGGACUAUGAAUGUCUAGCUAUAUUGAUGUAAUGUAAAUGUUGUAGAUAAUUCACAAAGAAAUUGUACUUUAGAACACAA
rnacentral:lncRNA from 1 species